GGCCCAGACUCCUACGGGAGGCAGCAGUGGGGAAUAUUGGGCAAUGGAGGCAACUCUGACCCAGCAACGCCGCGUGAGUGAUGAAGGUCUUCGGAUUGUAAAACUCUUUAAGUGGGGACGAAGAAAGUGACUGUACCCACAGAAUAAGCCUCGGCUAACUACGUGCCAGCAGCCGCGGUAAUACGUAGGAGGCAAGCGUUAUCCGGAAUGACUGGGCGUAAAGGGCGCGUAGGUGGGCGCUUAAGUCAGGUGUGAAAACUCCGGGCUCAACCUGGAGACUGCACUUGAAACUGGGUGUCUUGAGGGCAGGAGAGGAAAGUGGAAUUCCUAGUGUAGCGGUGAAAUGCGUAGAUAUUAGGAGGAACACCAGUGGCGAAGGCGACUUUCUGGACUGUACCUGACGCUGAGGCGCGAAAGCGUGGGUAGCGAACGGGAUUAGAUACCCCUGUA
rnacentral:rRNA from 1 species